rnacentral:tRNA from 1 species
GUCCUUAUAACACAAUGGAUAGUGCGUUGGACUUCUAAUCCAAUGGUUGUGGGUUCGAAUCCCACCUGGGAUG